rnacentral:rRNA from 1 species
CCUACGGGCGACAGCAGUGAGGAAUAUUGGUCAAUGGACGAGAGUCUGAACCAGCCAAGUAGCGUGAAGGAUGACUGCCCUAUGGGUUGUAAACUUCUUUUAUAAAGGAAUAAAACGAGGCACGUGUGCCUUUUUGUAUGUACUUUAUGAAUAAGGAUCGGCUAACUCCGUGCCAGCAGCCGCGGUAAUACGGAGGAUCCGAGCGUUAUCCGGAUUUAUUGGGUUUAAAGGGAGCGUAGAUGGGUUGUUAAGUCAGUUGUGAAAGUUUGCGGCUCAACCGUAAAAUUGCAAUUGAUACUGGCAGUCUUGAGUACAGUUGAGGUAGGCGGAAUUCGUGGUGUAGCGGUGAAAUGCUUAGAUAUCACGAAGAACCCCGAUUGCGAAGGCAGCUUACUAAACUGUGACUGACAUUGAUGCUCGAAAGUGUGGGUAUCAAACAGGAUUAGAUACCCCAGUAGUC